ACACGUGGAUAAUCUGCCCUCAGAUGAAGAAUAAUCCCGGGAAACUGGGGCUAAUGCUUCAUAGGAGACGGGUGCUGGAAUGCUCCGUCUCUGAAAGGUCUGCCGCCUGAGGAUGAGUCUGCGUCCGAUUAGGUUGUUGUUGGGGUAACGGCCCACCAAGCCUUUGAUCGGUACGGGUUGUGGGAGCAAGAGCCCGGAGAUGGAUUCUGAGACAUGAAUCCAGGCCCUACGGGGCGCAGCAGGCGCGAAAACUUUACAAUGCGAGCAAUCGUGAUAAGGAAACCCUGAGUGCCUGUUAUCACAGGCUGUUCUGGUGUCUAACCCACACCAGGAGAAAGGGCGGGGCAAGACCGGUGCCAGCCGCCGCGGUAAUACCGGCUGCUCGAGUGAUAGCCACUUUUACUGGGCUUAAAGCGUUCGUAGCUUGGUCGUUAAGUCUCUGGGGAAAUCUUUUGGCUCAACCAAAAGGCGUCUCAGGGAAACUGGCGACCUAGGAACCGGGAGAGGUAAGACGUACUUCGGGGGUAGGAGUGAGAUCUUGUAAUCCCCGAGGGACGACCG
rnacentral:rRNA from 1 species